GUGGAAUUCUCCUCAGAUGAGACGGAGUCCAGUGGGCAGAGGGGCAACUUAGCAUCCUCUCUUUCCCCAUGUUACCACGAUGCUCUUGGCAGGGACCAUUUGAUGGGGAUUCGGAUGUCUUCCUGGGGUGCCUUGUAUGACCUCUGAAAAUAUGACCUGAAGCAGAUGGAUGCACUCACAUAAGAAACAUCACCUGUGGCCUUCAUCGAAAAUGGGCCUGCUGCUUGAAGAAGUUGGGCUCUUGGAGUUCUCUAGCACAGGGGCCAUGAAAAUCAAUGACUUCCUUGUUUGCUGACGGAGCAGAGGUAGAAUCUCUUGGUGUUUCCACGGAGAAAACACUGACCAUGAAGAGCCAAGAAAGAUGACAUGAUGAAGCCAUCAGGGGAAGCACCAAACAUCCUCAACUCUGCUCACCCAUGGUUUUCUCCCGCCCUCCCAGAGCUCCUCCUGCGUGAGUAAUGCAGUGUGUGCUGGUGCAGUGUCUCACUGAAAAAAGAAAGAAACCCUGAUUUGCAGCAUUGGCCAAUUUCUGUAGUGUAAAUACUCCCACCAUAGCAGAUUUCAGGUUACCAAGGGUUUCACAACUGGUUCACAAGUCUUGACUGUAAUGACCAGCUCAUGCAACUCCAGCAUCUCAUCAUCUCCGCCCUGUCCCAGAAAAUCCCCACAUCACACCCAGGCUGAAUAUCACUUUCAGCUUCUCAGUCAGAAGGAGAAGUGGUUAACUAUGCCAGGAUGGUAAUGACUAAAUAUCAGAAUGUGAUGGGCCCCCGACAUGAAACUGGCACUCAGAAUGAAGAAUGCCUUUUCCAGCCUCCCUCGCUGGUGGAGUCUCCGUGUUCCAGCCAAUGAAAGGAGGAAGCCUGGACAGCCUGCAGUUGAGGGGACCUGCACAAGCUCACAGGACUCUUCAUCACCAUGACACCACGCUCACCGCAAAAUAAAAAUGAUCAAACCUGU
rnacentral:lncRNA from 1 species